rnacentral:misc_RNA from 1 species
AUUGGGUUGAAUUGAGAAAACUCUUGUUUCGCUCAAUCCUGUGUGUUAUUAUAAAAAGUAAUGCUGAGUCUCAGGUGAGAAUGUGAAAAUUUUUCUUUUUUUAUCUUUUUAAGUCCUGGAGUUCCAAUGAGCGGCUUAUGAAGGGAAAUCUGUACAAAAAUUGAAGUCGGCGUCGAGUCUUUGAUGUAGUCAUUUACAAUGUAAAUAUUACCCUUUGUUUUUUA